rnacentral:sRNA from 1 species
UCCCUUGCGGUCCCUUAUUCUCGUACUUGGUAGGCGCACUGGUCACGUGGGGUAGGUCCCCGCGCGUAAGCUGGUGCGCCGAAACGAGGUCCCGAAUGGGGCCUUUUUUAUUGCCUUUU